AGCUAUUCUCAGGGGCUCCCGAGUGUGGGGAGGGCGGCUCAGCGGGAACUGCCGCUUCCCAGAAAGUUGAUUAUUUUUAACCCAGGAAGAAGAAAGGAAGGAGGCCCAGGCAGGACUCAGAGAAAGGAGGAGAGGAAAAAGGAGAAGAGAGGAGAGAAGAGAUGGGGGAGCAAGGAGGAGAGAAAGGAUUCGGAGGGCCAGGGGAGGGAGGAAGGCUGAGGUAGCCCCAGCAAGGGUUCUGGGAAAGGAAUAGAUGUGGGGUCACUGCCUCCUGCCUUUCAGGGGCGUGAGGGAGGGUGCAGGCCCAGGGCAGCCACAGUCUCCCGGGAGUGCUUUCAGGUCAGUGGGUGGCACAGUGGCGCUGUCCUGGUUCUGGUCUUCAUGGUGACUCCCGGGAGUCAGCGUGGAAGCUCUGGGAAAGAGGACAAAGCGGGAGGGAUGUCUUGGUGCCUGGACAGGGAGGGGAUCCAGUCACUUCUCUCCCUGAAAAGGCACCUCAGAGGAGGGAGCAGGGUUCACAGUGCCAGACAAGACAGAGGCUGCCUGCCGGCCCACAGGGCUCACACUCCUUCAGGGGAGGCUGAGCUGGGCACGUAAUAAAAAAAACACCGCAUUGGCUGCCCCCAAGCAGGCAGCAGACUGAAGCAUCAGUGGUCUAGGCAGGUCCUUCCUCGCCUUCCCAACCCAAAGACCCACAAGAGCACACAGGAGUCAGCAUAGGAAGACAGAAUUUCCAGACUGCCGCAAGCAGUCAUGGAGAGGUGUGCUCAAGACAUAGGGGAUGAGGACAAGAAACCAGUGUCAGGAGUUCUGAGAUCCAUCUGUGCCCAGCUCAGCCCUGCAGCUCUGGAAAAUUCCCCAGAGUCUCCAAGAGGAUGUUGGGGCAGGCGCUCGGGGUGAGCCAGAAACAGUAACAAUAACAACCAGGGUCCGCUCAGCCUUGCCCUGCUCUGAGCACUGUGCAGACUCGGGUUGCAUCUUAAUGUGCUUAACACUCCCUAGGAGAGGCCCUGGGAGACGAGAGGAGCCAGAGAAAUCCAAACGAACCUCUGAUUAGCACCUUUUCAUUUUUAUUUUAUUUUUUGUCUUGUGGAGGGUGGUGGUAGUAUGUAUAUGCUCACGUGGGUGUUUGCAUGUGCAUGUGUGCAAGCCUGUGGAUGCCAGAGGUGGCUGUCCAGUAUCUUCCCUCCAGCCUUGUGUUGUGAGCCAGGGCAUCUCAUUCAACCCAGGCCUCACUAAUUCAGCUAGGCUAGCCAGCGAGCCCCAGGGAUCUGCCUGGUGUGCCUCCCCAGCCCUGGGGUAAGAGAUUCCACUGUGUCUGGCUUUUAAGUGGGUGUUGGGAAUCAAACUCAGAUCUUGAUCCUUUCAUGGCAGGCCCAACUGAGCCAUCUCCCCACCCCCUCGUUAGCAAAUGCCGUUUUUUAUAGGUCAGGAAGCAGAGCAGAGAGGAGCUCUCUCAAAGACAGGCAGGCAGAAGUAGAGAAGCCAAGAUCUGAAGCCCCAGAUGCCAGCGUCAGAAGCCCAGUAAUGAUUCACUGUGCACAGACCGCACAGGCCAGAGAGUUGGGAGUUUGAAGCCAGCCUAGGAAACCAAGGGCUAGAGGUCGAUCUCAGUGGCAGAGUGCUUGCCUAGAGCACACAAGGUCUUGCGUUUAUCCCCAGUAUUGUAAAUAAUAAAUACAAGUCAAGCCUGGCAUGGUGGCCACACCUGUCAUCCCAGUGCUUGGGAGGCUGAGGUAGGCAUGUCCAGGCCAACCAGGCCCUGUCUCAAAAUAAAACCAAAACCAAAAAACAAGUAAGUCCUAGGUCAGGCUGCUUCAAAAAUAAAACAAAAACUCACAUGCAAACAUAAAAGAGAUAUACGAAACUAAAGUUAACGCAUGAUAGGAACAUUAAACUUGUCCGACAGAACUGGGGCUGAGUCCAAUGCCCUGUGCUGAAGGACAAUGGAGAAUACCCGGGAUCACCCACCCUGCAUGUCCAGAGGAGCCAGUGUGUUGGGUGUAAUGGUACCCCAGGCCAGAAAGGCCUAGCAAGCCCACUCUUUCAAGAUCCCAUCAACCCACUCUGAGAAGACCAGUGUGACACUCCUUCCUCAUGAGACCACAGCCCGGAGGGGACCGACCGCCAAGAGGAAGAGCUCCAGUCAAGGGGUGGGUGUUAUCAUGUGAGGGAACAAGGGACCCUAGAUCCAAGGCUUCCCUGGAGGGACCUGAAUUGACCUGGGCUCCUUCCGGGGGAGGAAGGAGUGCCGUGGGCAGAGGGGCCUCCACAGCCGCUUCCUGGGGCUAAGCAGUAGAUGGGUGGAGCUGGGGCUGAGCCCAGGGUGGCAAGAGCGUCGUUGAACAAGGCUAUGGCAACCAUAAAGAUGGGCACGCCCCGGCUUGCUGCACGGGAAGGGUCUGUGGAUUGUGACAAGAUGCCUGGUCUCUGACGCUGGGGCCAUCCUGUGGGGUGUGAUCUUCAUGGCUGCCGACAAGGCUUAGAGGAGCAGGGCAAACAGGAAGCCGGAGGCCAGGAGGAGGGUCCGGAGCGCCUUUCCUUUCUUCAGCCAACCCCCAAUCCCUGUCUGAGCUCUCUGUUUUGGGGCCUGCUUCCUGACCACAGGCCGCCCGCGCCCUCCACCUUGCUCAAGGUGAAUAGUGAAUGCUGCCAUCCAAUCUUCAGCUCUCCUGCAGCUCCAGCCCAGGCCCAGCGUCCCCCGUGCUCAAAACACAGGCAGAAACAUCCUCAAGCAUCCCCUCU